rnacentral:lncRNA from 1 species
CUGGCCGCGAGCUCAGCCGGGAAGGACCGGCUUCCCUCGGGCCAGAGACCGAACCAGAUGCUUAGUGCGCAGGCGCGCGACUUUCCCGCCGCAGGUCGGAGGGAUCCGAAGGGGGGCGGGAAAAGGAACUGCACGGCGAGAAAACCGAAGUCACGAUCCAGAAUUCGUUCCUAAUCCCUCACAAUCCCGCGCCAUGGAACAAACCGUCGGAAACUCACGGUUUAAGGGAGUACGACUUCUGUGGCUCCCCAGAUGCCUGGGUCGCCGUCUCCAAGAGAUCCCCACCUACCGAGUCGAUCGGAUGCGCCUGCGCAACACUUCCCGCCGCCGCUCUGGUUGCACAUGCGCACACUAAAGCCCUCGACCCCGCGGAUUCCGCUACUGGGCGUUUGCGCAAGAGGGUGGGGUUUCUUCCCGCCGCCUUGGCCAGCUAGAAGAGCGGUUACGGGAAUGAAGCCCGUGGAUGAUCUUAAAAAACAGGGUGAACCAUAAGGCUAAGGGCCCAGCAUGAUUUCCAGGAAAGAAGCUAGCUCAGAGAAGGAAAAAUCUCAGGUGCUGACACAUCCCUAUAUACGUGGCCGGCCGCACAACACAUUGGGCACUCCAUGGAUAAAAGGCACUUUCUUGACUCUGCUUUUAUUUCCUUUUCGUUGAGUGCCCUACUUCCCCGUUAAAAACAAGCAGAAAAUGUAAUUGCUGAUUGUUUGUGGCUGUGUUAGUAGAAAUUAGCACAGUGGCAGGAAGGCAGUGUAUACUAUUUACUGAGCCCUUGGCUAUGAGGUAGGUGGGUUUUUCUAGGGGCUGGAAUCAUAGUGAGCAAGAUAAACACCAUCCCUGUAGGAAGCUAAAUUCCAAUGAAGCGAUGACAAUAACGGAUGAAUAAAUGAACAGUAUUCUUUCCGGCAUUGAUUACUACUUGAGGGAAAUACUGACCAGGAAGGUGGCAUCUAGAUGGUCAGGGAAGCCCUCUCAAAGAGACCUGGAUGAGAAAGAGCUGGUAGGGAGACUGUUGUCCUGGCAAAGAAAGGAUAGGGCAAAUGCAGAGAGAAAGAGGAACUUGGUAUGUUGCAGGGGCAGGGCAGGAAAGGCCAGUGUGGGGGAAGCAUAGUGAGUGAGCCGCAAGAUAGUCCCAGAUAGAUGAAGGUGGAGAGUUAGGCAGAAGCCAGACCAGGGUCCUUGAAAGCCAGGGUAAGAAGUUUAGUGUUUGUUCUGAGUACAAUUGGAAGCUAUUUGAAAGUUUUAAAGCAAGGGAGUAAUAUGAUCUAUCUGUUAUGAAGAGAAUGGAUUGUAGAGGGGCAAGUGUGGAAGCAGAGGAAAUAGGAUGCACUUUAUGUUUAGGAGAAACAUAAUGGUAGUUUGGACCAGAACAAUGGAGGAAGAACCAGCAAGAGACUGAGAAGUAGUAGUCUGUGAGGUAAGAAGGUGAUGUCAUAGAAGUCAAGAGCAGAAAGUUUUACAAUUAGAAGAAAGUGGUCAGCUAUAGCAAAUGCUUCACAGAAGUAGUGAGGAUACAGAAUUGAUCAGAGAUAGUCAUUAGAGCCUUCAGAAAGAGCAGCUUUGGAGUGAGACAGAAAGACUAUAUUGAAUUUAUUGACGAACAAAAGAUCUACAAAUGGAGACAACUCUUGAGGUUUGGUUUGUUUCUUAGUUUGGUUUCUUGUCUUUAUUGGGGGGUAGGGCGCACAAAUAGAAUAGUGGCUACAGUGUCAAAUUGUUUAUAAACUUUAUACUAGCCGUGUAACUUGGGCAAGUUAUUCAAUAUCUGUGACACUCCUAUUUCAAAAAUGUAACAUGGAUAAAAUACUUGCUUGGUUUUGCUAUAGGGAUUAAAUUAGAUAAAGUGACAUAAUACAUGUAAAGUGCUUGGUCCCAUAGGCCUGGACAUUGUUAGCUUGUAUUAGUUAAUUUAUAAUGG